GCGGCGGCUGGCAGUCAGGCGGAUCCGGCGGCUCCGGCUGGAGGUCCGGCGGCGGCGGCGGUGGCAACCGUGGGUGGUCAUCUGGCGGUUCCGGAGGCUACGGCGGCGGCGGCAGCUCCGGUGGAUGGCAGUCUGGUGGAGGCAGCUGGUGAUCGCCGUCGGGCAGUUCGCGCCACGCCACGCCCUCAGAUGCACCCUUCCUCGGCAGAAGAUCUGAAAACGGUGACGUCAUGCAGCUGGGCUCCAACGCCCUGGGCAUGAAACAAGUGAUAGGACACAUGUCUGUCCCACCGAUUUGGACUUGUCUCGCAAGAAAACGCCAUAAAACUCAGAAAAAAAAUAAUGAAUCAAGUCAAGCUUUGAUAAGCCAGUCUACUGUAAAGUUGUAAAGUAAAUAAACGUUUUAUAUUUUUUUUAAA